GAUGAACGCUGGCGGCGUGCCUAAUACAUGCAAGUCGAGCGAACGGACGAGAAGCUUGCUUCUCUGAUGUUAGCGGCGGACGGGUGAGUAACACGUGGAUAACCUACCUAUAAGACUGGGAUAACUUCGGGAAACCGGAGCUAAUACCGGAUAAUAUUUUGAACCGCAUGGUUCAAAAGUGAAAGACGGUCUUGCUGUCACUUAUAGAUGGAUCCGCGCUGCAUUAUCUAGUUGAUAAGGUAACGGCUUACCAAGGCAACGAUGCAUAGCCGACCUGAGAGGGUGAUCGGCCACACUGGAACUGAGACACGGUCCAGACUCCUACGGGAGGCAGCAGUAGGGAAUCUUCCGCAAUGGGCGAAAGCCUGACGGAGCAACGCCGCGUGAGUGAUGAAGGUCUUCGGAUCGUAAAACUCUGUUAUUAGGGAAGAACAUAUGUGUAAGUAACUGUGCACAUCUUGACGGUACCUAAUCAGAAAGCCACGGCUAACUACGUG
rnacentral:rRNA from 1 species